CAAGUUUUGAAACUCAAAGGAAUUGACGGGGGCCCGCACAAGCGGUGGAUUAUGUGGUUUAAUUCGACGAUACGCGAGGAACCUUACCAAGGCUUAAAUGGGAAUUGAUCGGUUUAGAAAUAGACCUUCCUUCGGGCAAUUUUCAAGGUGCUGCAUGGUUGUCGUCAGCUCGUGCCGUGAGGUGUUAGGUUAAGUCCUGCAACGAGCGCAACCCCUGUCACUAGUUGCCAUCAUCCAGUUGGGGACUCUAGUGAGACUGCCUACGCAAGUAGAGAGGAAGGUGGGGAUGACGUCAAAUCAUCACGGCCCUUACGCCUUGGGCCACACACGUAAUACAAUGGCCGGUACAGAGGGCAGCUACACAGCGAUGUGAUGCAAAUCUCGAAAGCCGGUCUCAGUUCGGAUUGGAGUCUGCAACUCGACUCUAUGAAGCUGGAAUCGCUAGUAAUCGCGCAUCAGCCAUGGCGCGGUGAAUACGUUCCCGGGCCUUGUACACACCGCCCGUCAAGCCAUGGAAGUCUGGGGUACCUGAAGUCGGUGACCGUAAAAGGAGCUGCCUAGGGUAAAACAGGUAACUAGGGCUAAGUCGUAAC
rnacentral:rRNA from 1 species